UUGUUCUCAUAGCUUGCUAUGGGAGCAAUUAGUGGCAGACGGGUGAGUAACGCAUAGGAAUCUACCUAGUAGUAUAGGAUAGCCACUAGAAGUGGUGGGUAAUACUGUAUAAGCCCUGCGGGGGAAAGAUUUAUCGCUAUUUGAUGAGCCUAUGUUAGAUUAGCUAGUUGGUGGGGUAAAGGCCCACCAAGGCGGUGAUCUAUAGCUGGUCUGAGAGGAUGAUCAGCCACACUGGAACUGAGACACGGUCCAGACUCCUACGGGAGGCAGCAGUGGGGAAUAUUGGACAAUGGGCGCAAGCCUGAUCCAGCUAUGCCGCGUGAGUGAGGAAGGCCUUAGGGUUGUAAAACUCUUUCAGUGGGGAAGAUAAUGACGGUACCCACAGAAAAAGUCCCGGCAAACUCG
rnacentral:rRNA from 1 species